AUAUAGAAUACUCUACCUGGAUAACAUCCCUGACAGGAUAUAGAAUACACAAUGCAUCUGACACAGAUUUAACUACGUGGACAACAUUACUGACAGAGAUUUAAACCAGGUGGACAACACUGUGUCUGAUAUGGACAGGAGACACCAGCACUGCUCUGAUGACCUGCAGAGAAGAGAGGACACAAACAGACAGAGAUUUAAACCAGGUGGACAACACUGUGUCUGAUAUGGACAGGAGACACCAGCACUGCUCUGAUGACCUGCAGAGAAGAGAGGACACAAACAGACAGAGAUUUAAACCAGGUGGACAACACUGUGUCUGAUAUGGACAGGAGAAAGCAGCACUGCUCUGAUGACCUGCAGAGAGGACAGGAGACAAAGAGACAGAUGUACAGAAGACGUUACUUGAAUCGUCUUCCACAUACACGUGAAUAAUGUAUAGUCAUUUGUAAACCCACUGAUCUUGGUGCCCUUUGCUUAAUGUAUUCAACAUGACCCCGGGACAACUUACUCCUUCUAAGGCUGAGAAACAGGUGUGUGAAAAUAUAUGACAGAUAAUGACAACAAUACGACGGGGGGUUUUCUGUAUGCAGACAUUGAAUAAUAUCAUGUUCUGUAUAGAUAUGACAACAAUACGACGGGGGUUUUCUGUAUGCAGACAUUGAAUAAUAUAAUGUUCUGUAUAGAUAUGACAACAAUACGACGGGGGUUUUCUGUAUGCAGACAUUGAAUAAUAUCAUGUUCUGUAUAGAUAUGACAACAAUACGACGGGGGUUUUCUGUAUGCAGAUAUUGAAUAAUAUCAUGUUCUGUAUAGAUAUGACAACAAUACGACGGGGGGUUUUCUGUAUGCAGACAUUGAAUAAUAUCGUGUUCUGUAUAGAUAUGACAACAAUACGACGGGGGUUUUCUGUAUGCAGACAUUGAAUAAUAUCGUGUUCUGUAUAGAUAUGACAACAAUACGACGGGGGUUUUCUGUAUGCAGACAUUGACUAAUAUAAUGUUCUGUAUAGAUAUGACAACAAUACGACGGGGGUUUUCUGUAUGCAGACAUUGAAUAAUAUAAUGUUCUGUAUAGAUAUGACAACAAUACGACGGAGGGUUUUCUGUAUGCAGACAUUGACUAAUAUCAUGUUCUGUAUAGAUAUGACAACAAUACGACGGAGGGUUUUCUGUAUGCAGACAUUGACUAAUAUAAUGUUCUGUAUAGAUAUGACAACAAUACGACGGGGGGUUUUCUGUAUGCAGACAUUGAAUAAUAUCAUGUUCUGUAUAGAUAUGACAACAAUACGACGGGGGUUUUCUGUAUGCAGACAUUGAAUAAUAUCAUGUUCUGUAUAGAUAUGACAACAAUACGACGGGGGGUUUUCUGUAUGCAGACAUUGAAUAAUAUAAUGUUCUGUAUAGAUAUGACAACAAUACGACGGGGGUUUUCUGUAUGCAGACAUUGAAUAAUAUAAUGUUCUGUAUAGAUAUGACAACAAUACGACGGGGGUUUUCUGUAUGCAGACAUUGAAUAAUAUCAUGUUCUAUACCAAAACAUAUUCUUGAAAACAAGUACAGCAUGUAAACCAGAAAUAAAGGCAGAUCAUAGUUUUAAUUCUGUGUCAACAAACUGUUCUAAAAAUAUGUAUCUUGUUCUUCUCGGCUCUGUUGGCUGGUGGAGUUGCUUCAUUGUUAAAUCUAUAUUUUUUUUAAAGGUAUGAUAAAUAUAUAUAUAUAUGUUUUAUAUGAAAAAGGGAUUGGUUUAAAACUGGAGAUUUUAUUUGAUAGAUUUAUAACAUUCAAUUAUGUUUGUUUUUUUUUACAUUUCUUUUAUGUUGAUAAAAUGUUUUGCCUUGAUGAGAACAUGGCAGGCAGGUAGAGGGUGACUAAAAACAAAAUGGCUUCCUUUCAAAACAAUCCCGUUCCGUGUUCACGUGCUAAUCGGAACUUGGACAUUUCAGACAUGCUAACUGGUUGUGGUUACACACGCGCCCGCGUUCAACCAGUUAGAAAGUCUGAAUUUCC
rnacentral:lncRNA from 1 species